rnacentral:lncRNA from 1 species
UGUGCAAAUGUAUUAAAAGCUUAAGUCUCAAUAAUUCAUAUCUUUUCUAUCGAUGAUUCAUUUGUUUUAGAAUCAUUUCUAUUCUCAUUUCAGAAUAAACAUUCUUUACCCAUUCAACAUUUCAAACUAUACAUAACUGCCAAUUACAUUUGACAAAACUAUCAAUCAUAGAUUUAUACCAUUUCUAAUUCAAGAAAAUGUAUUCAUUUUGCGCAUCGUUCAAUCUUCAUCAUCCGUAUAGCAAAUAAUAUUGUCUAACUUCAUUAACCUGCAAAAAGUUUGUGUUUGCAAGAUUGAGCUCGACAGCCCAGCAAAUUUAACAGUCUAUCAUGUUUCACAUAGCACACAAUUCCAUAUGCACUAUAUUUCCUUUACUAUGCAUAUCCGCAUACAACAUAUAUUCUUUACUAUGCAUAUCCUACAUGAAUCAAUAAUUUCUUACAAAACAUACAUUCAUGCAUUAUACAUUUCUAAUUUAUUGAGUUACAUCAUACAACAUGUGCUAUCACAUAUCACAGAUAAAUUGAGUUCCAUAACCCAAUUAACUUAGUCAUAUUUUGACUUUAACAAUUCAUAAAGCAUGAUAUGUAACUCACCACAUAAUCACAUUUAAUCCACAAACAUAAUAGAACUGAAAAACUUGCCUUGGUUGGAGAUUACCACAAAAGUUAACCUAGAAUUUCUCCACAAUUCCUACAGAAUUAUAUUUACAUGUACACACAUAUUAGAUAAUUGAAUAUGU